UGAAAUUACUAGGUAUGUUUAACCGAUAUGAUGGUUGGCAUUAGGAGAGAGUACUGAAAUGUUGAAAAAAAAGCAAUGAAGGAUUAUGACUUAAUGUGAAUAUGCGUAUUAAGAGAUAUGAUUGGAAAGAUGGAAGAGCA